GCAAACUUGGUCAUUUAGAGGAAGUACAAGUCGUAACAAGGUUUCCGUAGGUGAACCUGCGGAAGGAUCAUUAACGAAUCUUUUUUGGGAUAUCAUUUGAUGAUGAUGAUGAUGAUGGUAUUCCAAAACAUUAGUGCUCUCCGAGUUCGGAGGUGCCACAUAUUAUAAUAUAAUAUAUACGUAAGUAUUGUUGUAUAUUUUGUCUAGUGAAUUUCUGUGCUUUUUUGAUAAUGUGAUGGUGUGUAAAAUACAUCAUCAAUCAAACAUGCGCACAUGUAAUCAAACCUAUACUACUUUUAACAAUGGAUCUCUUGGCUCUUGCAUCGAUGAAGAACGCAGC
rnacentral:misc_RNA from 1 species